rnacentral:tRNA from 1 species
GGUUCUGUAGUGUUUCAGCACAUUUGAUUGCAAAUCAAAAAGUACUUAAUAAAAAGUCAAAACCU